GAACGCUAGCUACAGGCUUAACACAUGCAAGUCGAGGUGCAGCAUCAUCAAAGCUUGCUUUGAUGGAUGGCGACCGGCGCACGGGUGAGUAACACGUAUCCAACCUGCCGACAACACUGGGAUAGCCUUUCGAAAGAAAGAUUAAUACCGGAUGGCAUAAUUAUUCCGCAUGGGAUAAUUAUUAAAGAAUUUCGGUUGUCGAUGGGGAUGCGUUCCAUUAGGCAGUUGGCGGGGUAACGGCCCACCAAACCUACGAUGGAUAGGGGUUCUGAGAGGAAGGUCCCCCACAUUGGAACUGAGACACGGUCCAAACUCCUACGGGAGGCAGCAGUGAGGAAUAUUGGUCAAUGGACGAGAGUCUGAACCAGCCAAGUAGCGUGAAGGAUGACUGCCCUAUGGGUUGUAAACUUCUUUUAUACGGGAAUAAAGUGAGCCACGUGUGGCUUUUUGUAUGUACCGUAUGAAUAAGGAUCGGCUAACCCCGUGCCAGCAGCCGCGGUAAUACGGAGGAUCCGAGCGUUAUCCGGAUUUAUUGGGUUUAAAGGGAGCGUAGGCGGGUUGUUAAGUCAGUUGUGAAAGUUUGCGGCUCAACCGUAAAAUUGCAGUUGAUACUGGCGACCUUGAGUGCAACAGAGGUAGGCGGAAUUCGUGGUGUAGCGGUGAAAUGCUUAGAUAUCACGAAGAACUCCGAUUGCGAAGGCAGCUUACUGGAUUGUAACUGACGCUGAUGCUCGAAAGUGUGGGUAUCAAACAGGAUUAGAUACCCUGGUAGUCCACACAGUAAACGAUGAAUACUCGCUGUUGGCGAUAUACAGUCAGCGGCCAAGCGAAAGCAUUAAGUAUUCCACCUGGGGAGUACGCCGGCAACGGUGAAACUCAAAGGAAUUGACGGGGGCCCGCACAAGCGGAGGAACAUGCGGUUUAAUUCGAUGAUACGCGAGGAACCUUACCCGGGCUUAAAUUGCAACUGACGGAACCGGAAACGGUUCUUUCUUCGGACAGUUGUGAAGGUGCUGCAUGGUUGUCGUCAGCUCGUGCCGUGAGGUGUCGGCUUAAGUGCCAUAACGAGCGCAACCCUUACGGGUAGUUACCAUCAGGUUAUGCUGGGGACUCUACCCGGACUGCCGUCGUAAGAUGUGAGGAAGGUGGGGAUGACGUCAAAUCAGCACGGCCCUUACGUCCGGGGCUACACACGUGUUACAAUGGGGGGUACAGAAGGCAGCUAGCGGGUGACCGUAUGCUAAUCCCAAAAUCCUCUCUCAGUUCGGAUCGAAGUCUGCAACCCGACUUCGUGAAGCUGGAUUCGCUAGUAAUCGCGCAUCAGCCACGGCGCGGUGAAUACGUUCCCGGGCCUUGUACACACCGCCCGUCAAGCCAUGGGAGCCGGGGGGUACCUGAAGUACGUAACCGCAAGGAUCGUCCUAGGGUAAAACUGGUG
rnacentral:rRNA from 1 species